UUGAACGCUGGCGGCAGGCCUAACACAUGCAAGUCGAGCGGUAGCACAGAGAGCUUGCUCUCGGGUGACGAGCGGCGGACGGGUGAGUAAUGUCUGGGAAACUGCCUGAUGGAGGGGGAUAACUACUGGAAACGGUAGCUAAUACCGCAUAAUGUCGCAAGACCAAAGUGGGGGACCUUCGGGCCUCAUGCCAUCAGAUGUGCCCAGAUGGGAUUAGCUAGUAGGUGGGGUAACGGCUCACCUAGGCGACGAUCCCUAGCUGGUCUGAGAGGAUGACCAGCCACACUGGAACUGAGACACGGUCCAGACUCCUACGGGAGGCAGCAGUGGGGAAUAUUGCACAAUGGGCGCAAGCCUGAUGCAGCCAUGCCGCGUGUGUGAAGAAGGCCUUCGGGUUGUAAAGCACUUUCAGCGGGGAGGAAGGCGUUAAGGUUAAUAACCUUGGCGAUUGACGUUACCCGCAGAAGAAGCACCGGCUAACUCCGUGCCAGCAGCCGCGGUAAUACGGAGGGUGCAAGCGUUAAUCGGAAUUACUGGGCGUAAAGCGCACGCAGGCGGUCUGUCAAGUCGGAUGUGAAAUCCCCGGGCUCAACCUGGGAACUGCAUUCGAAACUGGCAGGCUAGAGUCUUGUAGAGGGGGGUAGAAUUCCAGGUGUAGCGGUGAAAUGCGUAGAGAUCUGGAGGAAUACCGGUGGCGAAGGCGGCCCCCUGGACAAAGACUGACGCUCAGGUGCGAAAGCGUGGGGAGCAAACAGGAUUAGAUACCCUGGUAGUCCACGCCGUAAACGAUGUCGAUUUGGAGGUUGUGCCCUUGAGGCGUGGCUUCCGGAGCUAACGCGUUAAAUCGACCGCCUGGGGAGUACGGCCGCAAGGUUAAAACUCAAAUGAAUUGACGGGGGCCCGCACAAGCGGUGGAGCAUGUGGUUUAAUUCGAUGCAACGCGAAGAACCUUACCUGGUCUUGACAUCCACAGAACUUUCCAGAGAUGGAUUGGUGCCUUCGGGAACUGUGAGACAGGUGCUGCAUGGCUGUCGUCAGCUCGUGUUGUGAAAUGUUGGGUUAAGUCCCGCAACGAGCGCAACCCUUAUCCUUUGUUGCCAGCGGUCCGGCCGGGAACUCAAAGGAGACUGCCAGCGAUAAACUGGAGGAAGGUGGGGAUGACGUCAAGUCAUCAUGGCCCUUACGACCAGGGCUACACACGUGCUACAAUGGCAUAUACAAAGAGAAGCGACCUCGCGAGAGCAAGCGGACCUCAUAAAGUAUGUCGUAGUCCGGAUUGGAGUCUGCAACUCGACUCCAUGAAGUCGGAAUCGCUAGUAAUCGUAGAUCAGAAUGCUACGGUGAAUACGUUCCCGGGCCUUGUACACACCGCCCGUCACACCAUGGGAGUGGGUUGCAAAAGAAGUAGGUAGCUUAACCUUCGGGAGGGCGCUUACCACUUUGUGAUUCAUGACUGGGGUG
rnacentral:rRNA from 1 species